UACGUAGGGUGCAAGCGUUAAUCGGAAUUACUGGGCGUAAAGCGUGCGCAGGCGGUUGUGCAAGACAGAUGUGAAAUCCCCGGGCUUAACCUGGGAACUGCAUUUGUGACUGCACGGCUAGAGUGCGGCAGAGGGGGAUGGAAUUCCGCGUGUAGCAGUGAAAUGCGUAGAUAUGCGGAGGAACACCGAUGGCGAAGGCAAUCCCCUGGACCUGUACUGACGCUCAUGCACGAAAGCGUGGGGAGCAAACAGG
rnacentral:rRNA from 1 species